rnacentral:rRNA from 1 species
UAGCCAAUGGUGACUGGAGUUCAGACGUGUGCUCUUCCGAUCUAAGCAUUGAUCCGUGAAUGUCCGAAUGGGGAAACCCACAGAGCAAUCUGUAUCGUAACAUGAAUACAUAGUGUUGCGAAGCGAACGCAGGGAACUGAAACAUCUAAGUACCUGUAGGAAAGGAAAUCAACCGAGACUCCGAAAGUAGUGGCGAGCGAAAUCGGACCAGCCGAUGGAUUUGAUUGUAAGAACUAGAACAGCGUGGGAAAGCUGACCGAAGAUGGUGAUAGUCCAGUAUAGGUAGAAAGCAAUUAAGUUCUUGAGUAGGGCGGAGCACGAGAAAUUCUGUCUGAAAAUGGGGAGACCACUCUCCAAGGCUAAGUACUACUGAGUGACCGAUAGUGAACAAGUACCGUGAGGGAAAGGUGAAAAGCACCCCUAUAAGGGGAGUGAAAAAGAACCUGAAACCGGAUGCCUACAAGCAGUCGGAGGAGCAUUAGGCUCUGACGGCGUACCUUUUGUAUAAUGGGUCAGCGACUUAAUUUAUGUAGCAAGCUUAAGCCGAUAGGUGUAGGCGCAGCGAAAGCGAGUGUUAAUAGCGCGUUAAGUUACAUGGAUUAGACCCGAAACCGAGUGAUCUAGCCAUGAUCAGGUUGAAGGUUGGGUAACACCAACUGGAGGACCGAACCCACUCCCGUUGAAAAGGUAGGGGAUGAAUUGUGGCUAGGGGUGAAAGGCCAAUCAAACUCGGAAAUAGCUGGUUCUCCGCGAAAACUAUUUAGGUAGUGCGGCAAGCGGACACGUUGAGGGGUAGAGCACUGAAAGAGCUAAGGGGGAGCGAUCCUUACUAAACUUUAUCAAACUCCGAAUACUCAACAGUGAUACUUGCCAGACAGACUGUAGGUGCUAAGGUCUACGGUCGAGAGGGAAAGAGCCCAGACCGCCAAUUAAGGUCCCAAAAUUAUGGCUAAGUGGUAAAGGAAGUGAAUUGUCCAAAACAGUCAGGAGGUUGGCUUAGAAGCAGCCAUCCUUUAAAGAAAGCGUAAUAGCUCACUGAUCUAAACAAGACGAUUUGCGCCGAAGAUGUAACGGGGCUAAAGCCAUAUACCGAAGUUGCGGAAUUGCACGUAAGUGCAAUUGGUAGCGGAGCGUUCUGUAAGCCUGCGAAGGUGUUCCGUAAGGAAUGCUGGAGGUAUCAGAAGUGAGAAUGCUGACAUGAGUAGCGAAAAGAAGUGUGAGAGACACUUCCGCUGAAAGUCCAAGGUUUCCUGCGUAAAGCUAAUCUGCGCAGGGUUAGUCGGCCCCUAAGGCGAGGCAGAGAUGCGUAGUCGAUGGGAAUCAGGUUAAUAUUCCUGAACCAACUAGGAAGUGACGGAUUCAGUAAAUUGUAUGUCCUUAUUGGAUUGGAUGUGCAGUGAAUGAGUCCCGGGAAAUAGCCCUAGUAUAGACCGUACCCGAAACCGACACAGGUGGACAGGUAGAGAAUACCAAAGCGCUUGAGAGAACUAUGUUGAAGGAACUAGGCAAAAUACUUGCGUAACUUCGGGAUAAGCAAGCCCCAUUUCUGGGCAACCAGAGGUGGGGGGCACAUACUAGGGGGUAGCGACUGUUUACUAAAAACACAGGGCUCUGCUAAAUUGAAAGAUGAAGUAUAGGGUCUGACGCCUGCCCGGUGCUGGAAGGUUAAGGAGAGAUGUGCAAGCAUUGAACUGAAGCCCCAGUAAACGGCGGCCGUAACAAUAACGGUCCUAAGGUAGCGAAAUUCCUUGUCGGGUAAGUUCCGACCUGCACGAAUGGCGUAACGA